ensembl:snRNA U6 U6 spliceosomal RNA
GUGCUCGCUUUAGAAGCACAAAUAAUAAAAUUAGAAUAAUACAGAGAAGAUUAGCAUGUCCCUUGCACAAGGAAGAUACUCAAACUCAUGAAACUUUCCAUAUUUUU